rnacentral:rRNA from 1 species
CCCAUAGGCUGACAGACCAGGAUUCCCCUAGUAACGGCGAGUGAAGAGGGAAGAGCCCAGCACCGAAGCCUGCGGCAGUUUUGCUGCUAGGCAAUGUGGUGUUUGGGUCGGCUCGUGGGACCGCCACUCCACUCGAAGUCCAGCAUUGAGUAUGGUUACUGGAUUUGGCCCAGAGAGGGUGAAAGGCCCGUACGGGUGGAGGUUCAAACAUGUAAGGCGGUUCACCAGGUCGGCCUUAGAGUCGGGUUGUUUGGGAAUGCAGCCCAAAGUGGGUGGUAAACUCCAUCCAAGGCUAAAUACUAGCGCGAGUCCGAUAACGAACAAUUACCGUGAGGGAAAGUUUAAACUAAAAUAAAAAAAGAGAACCCU